UACAAUGCCGGCAACGGCGAUAAGGGGACCUCGAGUGCCAGGUUACAAAUCUGGCUGUCGUGAUGCCUAAAAAGCAUUGCAUAGCAAGGGCCGGGCAAGACCGGUGCCAGCCGCCGCGGUAACACCGGCGGCUCGAGUGGUAACCGUUAUUAUUGGGUCUAAAGGGUCUGUAGCCGGCCGGAUAAGUCUCUUGAGAAAUCCAGCAGCUCAACUGUUGGGCUUUCAGGAGAUACUGUUCGGCUCGAGGCCGGGAGGGGUGAGAGGUACUUCAGGGGUAGGGGUGAAAUCUUGUAAUCCUUGAAGGACCACCAGUGGCGAAGGCGUCUCACCAGAACGGACCUGACGGCAAGGGACGAAAGCUAGGGGCACGAACCGGAUUAGAUACCCGGGUAGUCCUAGCCGUAAACGAUACUCGCUAGGUGUCGGCCACGGUGCGACCGUUGUCGGUGCCGUAGGGAAGCCGUGAAGCGAGC
rnacentral:rRNA from 1 species